rnacentral:tRNA from 1 species
GUUGAGAUGGCAGAGUCCGGCAAUUGCAUAAAACUUAAACUUUUACACUCAGAGGUUCAAAUCCUCUCCUCAACA